UCUCUCUCUCCCUCUCCCUUCCUCUGUGAAAUCAAUAAAAAUAUAUUUUAGAAAAAGAAAAAGAAAAAAAAAACAAAAAACGGUGCUAGGCAGGGCUGCCUUGGCUCACUGGAAAGUCAGAGAAAAGGAACCUUGGAGACAGGUUGAACUGCCGCUGCCCAUUGCUCCCCUGGUUGCAAGUCUUGUGGGGAAGCUUAGUGUUUAGGAGAUGCAUGCCUGAGAAGGAAGAAAGGUGUGGGCAUGCUCCUGAGAGGGAGAGUGCCGACAAAUAUUUAUUAAAUGAUUACCAAUAUAUCAGUUACUGUGUGGUGCUGGGAUAAAGUGAAUGAGACAGAUGAGCUGAUUUGCUUUCUUGUUUGGGAGAUAGACACAAACCUGCAAACCAAUAAAUAAUCAAGUUCAUUAUGAAUUAUAAUAAAUGUAAUGAAGGAAGUAAACAGACUGAGGAGAGAAUAACGAGAAGAUACCAUGGAGAUAAAAUCGUCUGGGAGCCUUGGCUGAAAAGGAGACUUGUAAACUGAGAACUGAAUGAUUAUGAGAUCAGUCAUGUGAAGAGCUGUAGAAAGAACAUUCUGGGGAGAGGCAGUGAUCUUCCAAAACCAAGAUCUGGGAAAGAAGAGCAGAAAAAAGACUGAUGCACCUGGACUGAGGCCAGUGAGAGGGGAAGCGUGCUGGUUAUGGAGAGAUGGCCAGUAGCCACGUUGUCAGAUCUUGUCAGUAAGGCGUUUGGAGUUUGUUUGGGAAGCCAUGUAGAGUUUUAAAACAGAAGAGUAAAAUGAUGGCUGAAUUUUAGAGAAUGGAUUGUGGGUGGGCAACAGUGAAAUCAGGAAGACUCAUUAGGAUGCAUUUUUCAUGGUCCAGGCAGGAAAUGAUGUUGCUUGGGCUAGGGUAUCAGGAUAGAUGGGGAGAUGUGGGUGGAUUUGAAGUAUAUUUUGUAGGAUUUGGAGGUCAGUUGGAUGUAGAAUUGCAGGGAAGGAAGCAGUCAAGUGUGGUGUCCAGGUUUUGCUGCCAGAUGGAUGGUAUGGUUUACUCAGAGCAGGAAACAGGGAUAUAAAAAGGUAUUGGGACAAGUUAGGAGUUUUUAGGUACAUUAAAUUUGAAAUGUAAAACUAAGGGGAGAAAUUGGGGCUAGGGAUAUACUUUGAGGAGUGGGAGAGCAUGUAGAUAGUAUGUCGUGUCUUGAGAAUGGAUUCAGUCCCAGAGAGAGUGUAGAUGGAGAAGGAGAAGGCGCAGGCAGAGCUCUGGGCAUCCCAGCAUAUGGAGGAGGGGUGCGGAAGAAAUUACAAAAAUGGAGGCAGAGUUAUGCCAAAUGCUGUUGAAGUGAGGCAGGUUUAGAGAAUAACCCAAGAAGACAUUAGUGAUCCUGACAAGAGUACUGUCAGAGGAGUGAUGGAGGCAAAAGACGAUUAGAGUGGGUGGGAAAGGAAAAAUAGAAAAAUUAGCGUGGUUAUGCAUCUUUCCCCAGCAAGUUAUUGGUCAUCUGAGUUUGUAAAAUGAGGAUGAUGAAAAUAACACUCACCUCACAUAGCUGUGAAAAUUAAAAGAAUUAAAGUGCUUAAAACAGUGCCUGACCUAUAGUAAGCACUAAGUAGUCACUGAUAUUAGUUGAGUGCAAAUAUGGAGAAUAGUCUGGUUGGGGUUUCUCAGGGGAGGAAGACAAGGGUGUCUUU